UGCAGUGAGCAGAGAGGAUGAGGGGAAAGGGCCCCCCGGGAGAGGCCACUAGAUCCUUCUCCGCAGCCCAGCCGCAGCCUUGUCUUCCUGUCUCCUGAUGCUCGCCCCAUCCUGCUCUCCAGCUGCUAGCCGAUUGGAAGAGACGGGGGCAAGGUGGAGCCAUCAUCAGUCAACCAGGCUGGGGGCUGAGCUGAUGAAGUUGGCCUGCCUGAGGAAAGAAUCUCCUGUUUUGAUUCACUCUUUAUCCAUCUAAGGCAGCAAAGGAAGAGCCUUAUAAUGCUCCGUUCGGGUAUUUGCCAGACACCUUAGACAGACACGUGUUCAUUCCUGACUGGGCUGAUGUCGCCGCCUUCCAGCCUCAGAACGGGGAGGGAGCUGAUGUGCAGAUCAGGUGAUGAAUCUGAAACCCUCUUUGUACUAAGGAAUUGUCUAAAAGGAGGCAGCUCCAGGACAGCCAUCCCAGAUCUCCAAUGAGAAGGGAGCUUAGAGGUCAUCUCAUCCAACCUUCCAUUUAAAAAUGAAGAAACUGAGGCCCACACACCCACAUUCAUGCCCAAGCUCUUCCAGAGACAAUAAAUCCUAAGAUGGAGGGCUUGCUGUCAAUAAUAAUUCACAUUUAUAUUGUAGAUCAGAGCUUGCAAAGUACUUUACACACAUGACUUCACUGGAGCCUCCUACCAGCCCCAUGCUGGUAUCCCUACGGGCAUCACCCAUCAAGAAACCAAGACUUCAAGUCACGUGACUCACUUAUGCUCUCAAAGGCAGGAUUUGAACCCAGUUCUUCCUGACUCCAAGAUGAGCACUUUGCCAAGUUGCCUCUUUAUAGGGAGACCAAGGACUGGAACCUAACACCUUUCUGAUGAAUUCUGUUUCCUCGUGCAAAUAAACUUAAGCAAUAAAAAUGAAUGAA